GACGAACGCUGGCGGCGUGCUUAACACAUGCAAGUCGAACGGAAAGGCCCUGCUUUUGUGGGGUGCUCGAGUGGCGAACGGGUGAGUAACACGUGAGUAACCUGCCCUUGACUUUGGGAUAACUUCAGGAAACUGCUGCUAAUACCGGAUAGGAGCUCCUGCUGCAUGGUGGGGGUUGGAAAGUUUCGGCGGUUGGGGAUGGACUCGCGGCUUAAUAGCUUGUUGGUUGAGUAGUGGCUUACCAAGGCUUUGACGGCUAGCCGGCCUGAGAGGGUGGACGGGCACAAUGGGACUGCGAUACGGCGCAGUGUCCAACGGUAGGCAACAGUGGGGAGUAUUGCACAGUGAGCGGGAGCCUGAUGCAGCGGCGCCGCGUGCGGGAUGACGGCCUUCGGGUUAUAAACCGCUUUCGCCUGUGACGAAGCGUGAGUGACGGUAAUGAGUAAAGAAGCACCGGCUAACUACGUG
rnacentral:rRNA from 1 species